rnacentral:ncRNA from 1 species
AGGCAUGGUUUGCGAUUCCCAAAAACAAAUGUUAUGGCAUAAUUUUCCCAAACUAUGCCCUUAUCUCUACAGGUGAAAUAUUCCCUAUGCAUGACAUGUAAUGGCUUGUGGGACCACACAUGGCCCAUGAGUGCCAAAGACAAAUUUCAUGGCAUAAGAUCUUAGAAUUUGGCAUUGGACCAUGGCAUAUACACUGAGAACCAUCAUUGGUGUGGCAAUCCUUGAAAUGGUGAUCAUAUCUCGCUUAUAAGAUAAAUAUUCUUAAUGUAAGGCAUGUGUGGUGGUUUGAGGUACUUAUGCAUCUAAUUACUACACACCCAACCCACACAACCACAAACAUAAAUGAUAACACACCUAUAAACAUAAUAAUCAAUGCACCUAACCUAUUUACUAACCCACACAUCUAAUUGAUGUAUCUUGUUGGUGACCAUUCUCCUCUCAGGUAAACAAUUAAUCAUGUGUUAAUUAGACCGAGUAGGUCCAAGGGGGAUAGGGGUUAAUGUGUUAAUAAUCACCUAACCUAGACCUUGAAUCUACACCCCCUAACCUUCUAAAUCAUUGACCCAUAACCCAUAACCCUUCUAAUUAAGACGCAAUGUGAUUUAUUACCAUUGCUCUGCAUGUCAAAUUGAAGAAAUUCAACCAAGCACGGGUAAACAGUAGGAGUAAUUAUGACUCUCUUAAGGUAGCGAGAUGCCUCAUCAUCUAAUUAGUGAUACACAUGAAUGGAUUAAUUAUAUUCCCCACUGUCUGUAACUACUAUAUUCUAGAGAAACCACAUCCAAGGGAAUGGGCUUGG